rnacentral:rRNA from 1 species
AACUAACGCUGGCGGCGUGCCUAACACAUGCAAGUCGUACGAGAAAGUUGGCUUCGGCCGAUGAGUAAAGUGGCGCACGGGUGAGUAAUGCGUGGAUAAUCUGCCCUUUAGUUGGGAAUAACGUACCGAAAGGUGCGCUAAUACCUGAUAAUACUGCAUAACUACUGUUGUGUAGUCAAAGAAGGCCUCUGUUUACAAGCUUUCGCCGGAGGAUGAGCCCGCGUACCAUUAGCUAGUUGGCAGGGGUAAUGGCCUACCAAGGCUACGAUGGUUAGCUGGUCUGAGAGGAUGGCCAGCCACACUGGAACUGAGACACGGUCCAGACUCCUACGGGAGGCAGCAGUGGGGAAUAUUGGACAAUGGGCGAAAGCCUGAUCCAGCAAUGCCGCGUGAGUGAUGAAGGCCUUAGGGUUGUAAAGCUCUUUUACCAGGGAUGAUAAUGACAGUACCUGGAGAAUAAGCUCCGGCUAACUCCGUGCCAGCAG